GAUGAAGAACGCAGCGAAAUGCGAUAAGUAAUGUGAAUUGCAGAAUUCAGUGAAUCAUCGAAUCUUUGAACGCACAUUGCGCCCCCUGGUAUUCCGGGGGGCGUGCCUGUCCGAGCGUCAUUACAACCCUCAAGCUCAGCUUGGUGUUGGGCCCCGCCGCCCCGGCGGGCCCUAAAGUCAGUGGCGGUGCCGUCCGGCUCCGAGCGUAGUAAUUCUUCUCGCUCUGGAGGUCCGGUCGUGUGCUCGCCAGCAACCCCCAAUUUUUUUCAGGUUGACCUCGGAUCAGGUAGGGAUACCCGCUGAACUUAAGCAUAUCAAUAAGCGGAGGA
rnacentral:misc_RNA from 1 species